UAACAUUUAACUUAAGUCGCAAUAAAUCUCUCUAAUUUGAAAAUCCAGGAUGAAUAAUUUGCAUUUAUCUCCUUAAGUUGUAACAGACAGAAAUAGUCUCUGAUUAGAAUGAAUAUGCAUCAAACAAGUAUGUAUCUUUGGCAAACUUAUACAAAAUCCUUUCUGAAAUAGAAUAUUAUUUUUUAGUUUAACAAACAUAGAACAAA
rnacentral:misc_RNA from 1 species